UGGGAGGUCGUUCAACGGUAGGACAUCGCGCUCUGGACGCGAUUAUUGGGGUUCGAAUCCCUACCUCCCAGCCA
rnacentral:tRNA from 1 species